GUGGGGAAUCUUGCGCAAUGGGCGAGAGCCUGACGCAGCCAUGCCGCGUGAAUGAUGAAGGUCUUAGGAUUGUAAAAUUCUUUCACCGGGGACGAUAAUGACGGUACCCGGAGAAGAAGCUCCGGCUAACUUCGUGCCAGCAGCCGCGGUAAUACGAAGGGGGCUAGCGUUGCUCGGAAUUACUGGGCGUAAAGGGCGCGUAGGCGGACAGCUUAGUCAGAGGUGAAAGCCCAGGGCUCAACCUUGGAAUUGCCUUUGAUACUGGCUGUCUUGAGUUUGGGAGAGGUGAGUGGAACUCCGAGUGUAGAGGUGAAAUUCGUAGAUAUUCGGAAGAACACCAGUGGCGAAGGCGACUCACUGGCCCAAUACUGACGCUGAGGCGCGAAAGCGUGGGGAGCAAACAGGAUUAGAUACCCUGGUAGUCC
rnacentral:rRNA from 1 species